GUGCCAGCCGCCGCGGUAAUACGUAGGGACCAAGCGUUGUUCGGAUUUACUGGGCGUAAAGGGCGCGUAGGCGGCAAUUCAAGUCAGCUGUGAAAUCUCCGGGCUUAACUCGGAACGGUCAGCUGAUACUGCUUUGCUAGAGUGCAGAAGGGGCAAUCGGAAUUCUUGGUGUAGCGGUGAAAUGCGUAGAUAUCAAGAGGAACACCUGAGGUGAAGACGGGUUGCUGGGCUGACACUGACGCUGAGGCGCGAAAGCUAGGGUAGCAAACGGGAUUAGAAACCCCCGUAGUCC
rnacentral:rRNA from 1 species